GAACGCUCGUAGCAAUACGGGAGUGGCAGACGGGUGAGUAACGCGUGGGAACAUACCCUCCGGUUCGGAAUAGCUCAGGGAAACUUGGAUUAAUACCGGAUACGGCCGAGAGGCGAAAGAUUUAUCGCUGAAGGAUCGGCCCGCGUCUGAUUAGCUUGUUGGUGAGGUAACGGCUCACCAAGGCGACGAUCAGUAGCUGGUCUGAGAGGAUGAUCAGCCACACUGGGACUGAGACACGGCCCAGACUCCUACGGGAGGCAGCAGUAGGGAAUCUUGCGCAAUGGGCGAAAGCCUGACGCAGCCAUGCCGCGUGAAUGAUGAAGGUCUUAGGAUUGUAAAAUUCUUUCAGCGGGGAAGAUAACGACGGUACCCGCAGAAGAAGCCCCGGCUAACUUCGUG
rnacentral:rRNA from 1 species